CGGCACCUCAAGUGGUCAGGAUGAUUAUUGGGCCUAAAGCAUCCGUAGCCGGCUCUGUAAGUUUUCGGUUAAAUCUGUACGCUCAACGUACAGGCUGCCGGGAAUACUGCAGCGCUAGGGAGUGGGAGAGGUAGACGGUACUCGGUAGGAAGGGGUAAAAUCCUUUGAUCUAUUGAUGACCACCUGUGGCGAAGGCGGUCUACCAGAACACGUCCGACGGUGAGGGAUGAAAGCUGGGGGAGCAAACCGGAUUAGAGACCCGAGUAGUCC
rnacentral:rRNA from 1 species